ensembl:lncRNA
AAUCAGUCCAACAAGAACAUUUCUUAAGAGAUCCUUUUUUCUUAAGGUUUUUCAGUAAUUAGAAUUCCUAAAACAAAUGUUCUUAAAAAUGAUCAUACUUUAAGUCUUAACAUAAGAAUAACUUUCAUUGGUGCUGCUUUGUCUUUUUUGUAGUUUGACAGCCUCUGGUCACUGGACGCGAUAAUUUAAUUCUGCUAAACAGGUUUUGUGCUUUGCGGAAUAAACAAAGUCUCACAGGUUUGGAAUGACAUGAGGGCACUUCCAUCUUCUGCAUCCUUCAAAAAUGUCUGGGACUUCAAGAAAUCCAUUGAACGAAGGUUAAAAUGGUCAUUUAAUGGUAUUUUGGUGGUGCACUUGAAAAUGAAGGCCGUUGUGGCUUUCAUCCGAGGCUGAUGAAGAAGACCGUCUCCGAAGCUUUGAAGGGUCUCUGGUUUCUCCUUUACCGCCGUCAACACGGUUUCCCACUGCAGACUAAUAAUCGGCAUUCCUGCUUGACUUUCACCAGCUGUGGAGCUGAUCCGGCGUCCCGGUUCACGGAGUGACGUGCCCUCUAUUUUGAUGUGUCAGGCUAAUACAUGC